CAGGGGUGGGGAGUAAAGCAGAUAGUGGCUUCGCAGCUGAAGCAGUGGGCCAGUCCAGGCAAAUCAAAGCUUGCAAAACGAGAGCUUGGCAGCCUCCGGGGGGAGCUGGAGAAAGGCAAGGAAUGCGGAAUUCAGAGCGUCAUGAAAAAAAAAAAUCUCUUGUGCAAUAAGGGCUUUCUUAUGAGGGUGCCCUCUGGUGGACCAGGGCCCAGCGAUGGAAGAUGUGCUUUUAUUUCCUAAUAACCUGGAAUCUCUGAAGAAAGUGUGUCCCAGUGUGUGUAAGUGAACCUUAGGAUACGAAGAACUAUUUUACAAAUCCCUGUGUAGAAAAUGACAUUUUUUGAAGAUGGUCAACCCAGAAAUAUUAAAUAAAUUUGCCAAUUGGUGAACUGCAAAAAUAGACAAGUAGCGAUAUUAUCCUUCAUGCAAAAGUUUCAUAGAAAGGUGUCACUGUGCUUUUUGGCCUAGUGGUCUACCUAGUUGGAAAUUUCCCUCAUUAGGUUGCAAAUCUAGUAAUUUGUCUGGCUCACAUUAAUAGCCUAAAAUGGAAUAGCGGGUGUCAUUGAAACAACAACAGUGCUUCCCUUAAAAGGCAUAACCCUCAGCAGUCUUUGCACACAGACAAGAGCUUCUACUGCAAUCCCUAGACCAAAGUGCUUACACGUUAGCACACUUGCCGCAGAGAAAAUAAACUUUAGAAGUCUGACGGCAAAAUUCAGACUGAAUUACAACAUCGCAGAGAAGGUUCCCUAAUAUUCCAUGCCUAGAGCAUGGGAAAAUGCUUAAGUAGGUAUGUGGUCAUAUUCACAGGCCAAGUGAUUGCACUCUGAUGUGCAUUAAUAUGUUUGCUUUUCUCAAGAUAAAAAGAACAUGUGCAAAUGACCUUUGAUAAAAUGCAGUGCACAUAACGAGAUAAAGGUCACUCCGUUAUGAAAAAAAGCCAGCUAAUAUGAUUGUCCUUUAAGCAAAUCUUAAUAUCUGCCGAAUGAUCUGCUUCUGACAGGACAACCUUCAAAAUGAGUGUCCCCAGCAGUAAAGGCCUGCUCACUGGUACAAAAUGUUCUGAACCCUUCCUGCAAGCAUAAAAUCAAACCAUAAAAUCAUUAGGAGUCCAGGAGAAUGGUAAGAGCAUCAUUCAAUCAUAAUACACGGCAAAAUGGUUUGUUGUUUUAGCAGAGUUUAUAGGAGGCCGAGACAAAUUGUAUGUAUUCCAGCCGAGUAAAAUUUACCACAUCAGAGGUGUUUUGACAUUGAAAAUGUGUUGUGUAAUAAAAUGAAUUAAUUCAAAUGAAAAAUUUAUUAUAAUGAGCUUUUCAGAAGCUGUGCCUUUAGUCAGACAGGGUUAUUUGCGCUUUCCUUUUUUUAAAAUUUUUUUUUUUACAUUGGACUGACCCCUUGCAUGUGCAUUACUGCAUGCUGUUAUAGUUUGACUAUACGGCACGAUCCAUCCACCUCAUAACGGUUCCCCUCUGGUUGGGUUGCCAUUUCAGUUUUUUUCCCCACUGCAGGUAGCUGUGGAAAACUACCUGGGAGAUGCCUAUCAGAUUAGCUUGGUUAGCUCUGUAAUUAAAGAUGUUUGCCCCUGUCAGCCAGUCUCUCUCACAUCAGGGUGUUUGGGGCUACAGGCGACCUUUAGGGAUGGAGGUCAGGCCUCCUGCCUGGAGCUAGUUGCACCAGCUUGGAUGCAAAGAAGCUGGUUGCAAAUGCUAAGUCAAACGUUUGCACAUCCACCCUUGUGAUUUGGCCUUACAUCAGUUGCAUAAAACUGACAGUGAACCUGGCUAUAGCUAGGCGAUGCAUGUAAUGCAGCGUAAUGUAAUGUAAAUAAACACAUAACAGUACAUUUUGCUGGAAAGUGUGUGCUGUCAAACAAGUGUAAACUGCUCCAUAUGAAAAAUAACAGAAACAAAGGUUUGUUUUAUGGGAGGAAUGGGAGUAGAAGCAAAUAUUCACGAUUAGUGAAAACGUUGGAUGCACAAAACGGUGGAUAAAUGAGUAACCUAGAUGCUGAUGAGUCUGUCCUCAUCAUCAAACAGCUUAUUUUUAUUGCAACUUACAUCCUAUGUCUGCCCUUUACUAGUUGUAAGAUGACUUCCAAAUGGCAGUAAAACAUUACUUAUAGUAUAUUAAGGAAUAAAGUCAAUUUGGUCCCAUUGAAAGGCUUUCAUUCGGGCCCAUUAUGGGCUCAUUUGCUAAGAUUGUCUGCCACCCUCGCCAACAGUAAUUGGAGCACAUCUCACAGCAGUGUGGGAACAUGGGAUUGCACUCGGAUGAAAGGAUUAUCAGCAAGCCCCAGAUAUCACCUGCUUGCAAACACGAUUCGGUUUGGGUGUCCUCCAACCACAAGACAGUCCUGCCAAGCUCUCUUCCACGAUUUUCUUUUUUUAAACACGUCUAAUGGCAUGCAUUAAAUCUGGGAGAAGUCACAAAAGUUUUUUUAUAGUCAGAAAUAUGGAAGCAUUUGGAAGCACUGCAGCAUGUACAUUUCAAAAAGUGCUUUUACUGAGGUUCCCUGAUAUAUUCUUUCAUAAAUCGGACCCAGGGACAACAUUUUGCUGGAUAUAAUAAAUAUUUAUAAAUGAGCCUUGUUAGGGUCAUUGACUUGAUAUUUACAGUAUGUAAUAUGCCCAGUGAACACUUUCCUUGAUAUUCAUAGGUAUAUGCUAGUUGAUAAUUUCAAUAUGCAGUAUGGAUAGCUCGAGAGAACAAUGCUUGAACACAGAAUUCUUUCAGUUUGGUGUUACAGACCAUUGCAAUACUUAGAACAAACUAACCAUGUUUGAUAGAAUGAUGGUAUGUUACCUCUAAUGUAUAUAUUUUCAAUAUUUUUUGCAUACAAACAUAUGUAAAAAUAUCCAUGCAUAUAGUAUAUUCAUAGAGAGAGAACCAUGGAGAGCAAUCAUUUCUAUUGUUUUUUUUUUUUUAAUUUAAUCUAUUUUAAUUAUUGAAAAAAAGCCAAGUAGCCUCAAAAAACACAUGCAACUCAAUCCAAGGCAUGACAGUUACAGUUUAACAAUCCAAGGCAUGACAGUCACAACUGACUGUAGGAUCAUUUUCUGAAUUUACUGUUCAUUCUGACAAGGCAAAAACAGAGCUCCAAGUGAAAAUUCUACACACACCACAUAACUUGGUAGAAAAUAUAUUUACAUUUGGCUCAGGGUAAAGAAAAAGAGCUAAAAAUAAGGCACAUAGAAACAGAGGGAAUAAAGGGGACUGAGAACAACCCAGGGUAAUCUUUUACACAUUUAUUCUUUCCAUCAGAAAACAAUCUGAAAGGUUAGCAUAUCAUGGGUGAAGCUCAAUUUGAAAAUAUCCCUCAACUGUCUCUAUUCAUUUACUCAUCCAUCCCUGUCCCUUAACUAAGUCAUAACUUGAAUUAAUAAAACAUUUCUCCUCAAUGAAACAGUCCAUAAGACAAGAAACUCGGGUGCAUGGUUAAUUGCAUGUAUAAAACAUCCAUGCAGUAAAUCCAACCAAAUACUUACUUGAGUGUAUGGGGUGUCAAACUCCAGUCCUGUAGGACCGCAGUGACUUAAAAAUACAUUUAAGUCAUUGAUUGGCUGAAGAGUCCACACACCUUGUUCUCAAGGCUUUGACUGGCUGCUGAUCGAAAGGAAACCACAAAUACCUGCAUACACAGUGGCCCUCAAAGGACUGGAGUUUGACACCCCUGUUCUACGAUGUAUUUCACAAUAGAGCCAACAUACUGGUCUUGACUUAUGCACAAAUUCACAUAUUUUUGGCCUCAUAAGAGCACUGACCUCUUAGGUGUGACCGUGGGUGAAUGGCCCAUUGGCGAUUACACCCUGGGCCUUGCUCUGGUGUGGGUGCCAUUGAUUUCCCAACAACCCCCCCUCCGGCCCCCCCGAAAUCACUACCACAAUGGGUGUCAACAAAACAACCUGCCAUUAAGGGCACUAACUAUGUGUGGAGCCUCUCCCUAUAGGCUGACCCCAGAUUUGUAAGCCACCACUUUUACACAAAGCACAAAGCAUUCUUUUCUUAUGUUGAUUUCAGGCAUUGGUGAAAGUACGAUGGAAAGUGUGGAGCCAGGUUAAGGACAAACUGAGCCACAAUACGCUUUGUCCUUAGCUACUUGCCAGGGUUGCUUUAUGUUUCUUAUUAAACGAAUUAAAAUUGAGACAUUUAGCAUGUAUGUAUUAAGUCUGGGACCAGGUCUCCUGCAAUUCUCUAUUUGUUUUUCACAUGAAUGUUGCCUCAUGGAUCAAUCUAAUGAUUUUUGUGAAAAAUUGAGUUAUAAUAGUUAAAGACUGAAAACAGUAAAACUGAACCUUGGCCUUCCUUCUAUAGCAAUCUCACUGUCAGCACUGGCCAGUUGUACAACAUCAGCAUUUGGACUAGAUUAGGGAGAUAAUAUAUGUUUUAUUUGUUUUCCCUUUAAUUGAAACACAGUGACUCCAGAUGGUUCUCACAUAAACAUAGGCUACUGCACGGUUUCGAGACCCUCCAGUCUACAGGGCCAGUCAUCUGACACUAAUGCUCUAUUGUGACAUCUUGAAGAACUCCCCUGUAUGUUUGCCGCGAACAAGUGUACUGUCAUUUUAAUUACUGUGGUGCUUUCAAUAAAGCCUUUCUUGCCACAGCCAGAGCCUUUGGUCGACACUUGGAAGGCAGAAAAUCACCUUGCUUUGGAUUUUCGUCUGUUUGCUUUUGUUUAGAUCCAGCACUCAAAGCACUGUGCAAUAACCUCAAGGGAUAAUCUGUUGUGUGUAUGGUUACUAAUCCACAUAACCAUCCACUCCAAAGAGUACUCAAAGCUGGCCAGGGGGCUUAGAAAUAGCCUCUUUCAGAUGCCUCUGCAGUGUCAGCUCUGCUCUGUGGGACAUCUUUCAGCUGACCCUGCUGUGGCAUUGCCAGAUAACAAGCCUAACAAGCUAUCCUGGUGCUACCACUCAAUGAGCUGUGAACUUUGCGACCCAACUGACCUCCUCCCAAACCCUGUGACACCAAGAAGAGACUGACAAGAGGAUUAAGUGGUGCACAUGAACUGUUCUAACCCUAAUCGGCUCUGAAGUGACUCCCUCCUCCCACACACACACACACACAGUCUGAUGCCAUGCUCGGAUGGGUAAAAUGUCAAAUGAGCAUGUUCUUCAGAACAAAACAAAAAAACAAAAACACUUACCAUCAGGUUGCUUGAAAAAAGCUCACUGUUCAGAAAGGAAUCAUUGAGGACUUCCUUUCUUUUUACAAAACAUUUUGAAUAUUCUUAUAAGCAGAAAGCAAUGCCAACAAGUCUUUACCAUGAUAAGCGCCCCAACUCAUGGACCUCAUUCACUCCAAGGACUUACUGACCCACCCCUCAGUACCCAAGUGCUGCCUAAGUUGAAAAGAACCGCUCCUGUAUUCUAGAACAUUUGGUGACAAACAAGCAAAUGUUCCAAUGGAAGCAUGCUGAGAUCAGCACAAUUUCACAGGCAAUUUUGUUCAGUAUGAUAUGAAGCAAGACUCGUUAAUGGCUCCACUCAUUGUGCAACUGCAUACCUUUUUUUUGUUGCCAUGUUUGCUUUAUGUUCCGCCCACUGUACGGUACAUCAUGUUACCCAGGCCUGUGCCUCUGUAGGUCAAGCUGGGAUAAUUUCAUAACAACACUGUGUGCCACAGUACAGGCAUGCAGCGAUGGACUGCAGACAGACCAGACGGGUUAAAAUUAAGGCCGGUGCGACGUGGACUCGGAGCGGACCGUGCAGCGAGAAGCGAUGAGCACGCUAAGAGCCUCUUCCAGUCUCAGAUCGGCUUCCUGUCAGGGGGAGGGUGGCACCUGCAUCAGCCUCGGCGGACAGCGAUGCCCUCGUCCUGGAGGAUCGGGGGACCCGGACUCAGUGGCGCACGGCUGCGGGACGCGUCGUUUCAGAGCCACUGCGACUGGCAGGAAACCGCUGUUUCAUAACCGUGCAGCUGAGGCGACCGAUGAAGUGAGUCGAGUCCACAAGAGGAACCGAAGCCUGACAGGCAGCUGUGCUCUGAUGCCCACUGAUGCAUCAACUUUCCAUGAAUGCGAAACCGUGGGCUUUACUCCAUUUUGCAAACGGUUAAGCUGCAUUUACUGUAAUCCUUUUUUUUUUUUUAAUAAUACAUUUGAACGAGGGCAAAUCAGAAAUCCCGCAAGGCCCAUAAACCAUAAACCCUGGUGUUCUGGUUUGUUCAAUAUGGAGCAGCUCUUGGACUGGAGGCCAUCUGCCAGAUUACGGUAUUUCAUAUAGUUUGAUGACAUAAUGUUUUGUAAACAGAGCCCUUCUACAGCAAACAUUCCAGCGUCCUGAGUAUUAAUCUACCUAAGUUGGGCUCGGUUCUUGGAAUUGGGAUAUUGCUCUUUAGAACUUGUCAUCUGGUGAUGUGGCCAUUACAUCACAGCAGCUG